AUAUUGGUCAAUGGACGCAAGUCUGAACCAGCCAUGCCGCGUGAAGGAUGAAGGCGUUCUGCGUUGUAAACUUCUUUUAUCUGGGAAGAAACCUCAGUAUUCUUAUUGAGCCGACGGUACCAGAGGAAUAAGCACCGGCUAACUCCGUUCCAGCAGCCGCGGUAAUACGGAGGGUGCAAGCGUUAUCCGGAUUCACUGGGUUUAAAGGGUGUGUAGGCGGGUAUUUAAGUCAGUGGUGAAAUCUCCGGGCUCAACCCGGAAACUGCCAUUGAUACUAUUUAUCUUGAAUUCUGUUGAGGUAGGCGGAAUAUAUCAUGUAGCGGUGAAAUGCUUAGAUAUGAUAUAGAACACCGAUUGCGAAGGCAGCUUACUAAGCAGACAUUGACGCUGAGGCACGAAAGCGUGGGGAUCAAACAGG
rnacentral:rRNA from 1 species